rnacentral:rRNA from 1 species
UACAGAGGUGGCAAGCGUUGUUCGGAAUUACUGGGCGUAAAGGGCGCGUAGGCGGCCAACUAAGUCAGACGUGAAAUCCCUCGGCUUAACCGGGGAACUGCGUCUGAUACUGGAUGGCUUGAGUUUGGGAGAGGGAUGCGGAAUUCCAGGUGUAGCGGUGAAAUGCGUAGAUAUCUGGAGGAACACCGGUGGCGAAGGCGGCAUCCUGGACCAACACUGACGCUGAGGAGCGAAAGCCAGGGGAGCAAACGGG